rnacentral:rRNA from 1 species
AGAGUUUGAUCCUGGCUCAGAACGAACGCUGGCGGCAUGCCUAACACAUGCAAGUCGAACGAGACCUUCGGGUCUAGUGGCGCACGGGUGCGUAACGCGUGGGAAUCUGCCCUUAGGUUCGGAAUAACUCAGAGAAAUUUGAGCUAAUACCGGAUGAUGACGUAGUCCAAAGAUUUAUCGCCUAGGGAUGAGCCCGCGUAAGAUUAGCUUGUUGGUGAGGUAAAGGCUCACCAAGGCGACGAUCUUUAGCUGGUCUGAGAGGAUGAUCAGCCACACUGGGACUGAGACACGGCCCAGACUCCUACGGGAGGCAGCAGUGGGGAAUAUUGGACAAUGGGCGAAAGCCUGAUCCAGCAAUGCCGCGUGAGUGAUGAAGGCCUUAGGGUUGUAAAGCUCUUUUACCAGGGAUGAUAAUGACAGUACCUGGAGAAUAAGCUCCGGCUAACUCCGUGCCAGCAGCCGCGGUAAUACGGAGGGAGCUAGCGUUGUUCGGAAUUACUGGGCGUAAAGCGUGCGUAGGCGGUUAUUCAAGUCAGAGGUGAAAGCCUGGAGCUCAACUCCAGAACUGCCUUUGAAACUAGAUAGCUAGAAUCUGGGAGAGGUGAGUUGGAAUUCCGAGUGUAGAGGUAAAAUUCGUAGAUUUUCGGAAGAACACCAGUGGCGAAGGCGGGU